GGGCGGCGGGAGGCUCCGUGGCCGGCCCCGGGUUGAAGUUGAGAGGGCGGCCUUCAAUUCUGAACCCAUUUAGGCAGCACGGGCAGCCCUCCUCGCCGUCGGCUGCAUCAGAGUCCCCCUGCUCAGGCUUGGAGAUGCUGCCGGAUGCUGUCUGGGAGGCUUGGUCAUGGUGACAUCCUUAUCUCCCCGUGCACGUUACUGCAUUCAGAGCUUAGGUCACCUGGACACUGAACUCAGGUGAAUUUUGUUUGAGAUCCCCGGAGAAGGACAGUUCUCUGGAAGGUUUUCCAGGACCCAUCACGGAAAGGAUGAGAAGGGAGAGGUCCUGGUCCGGGACACAGUUACAAUGGUAGUGUAACACUGGGAAACUUUAUUGCGUGAAGUCCUUGUCACUCCCUCUACCUCCCUCUUUUACGUGGACUCUGCCAAAGACCAGGAUAUUAGAAUGCAGUGAAGUGACCGAGUGUAGUGGAACCUUGGGAACAUUAGUCUGGAGCCAGGCGGCUGGGGUUUGCAUCCUGGUUUUGCCCCUCCUUAGCUGGCUGACAUGGCACAAGUCACGUACCCUCUCUGAGCCUUACUGUCUUCAGUGGCAAAUGAAUCUGUCAACAGGCCCCAUUCCAUGGGGCUGUUACUGCUGAAAUUAAAGGAAGCUCGUCUAUAGAAAGCACUUAACAUUGUGCCUGGCACAUGGCGUCUGGUGGAUAAAUGGGACUUAGGACUGAAACUCAUGCCUUGGUGUGUUUUUGCAGUGAUGUUUUGUUCUGGGGUGCAUCACAAGAGACAAGGUUCUUGGCUGGGCGUGGUGGCUCAAGCCAGUAAUCCUAGCACUUUGAGAGGCCGAGUGGGGAGGAUCGCUUGAGCCCAGGAGUUUGAGACCAGGCUGGGCAACUGGCAAGUGGUGAAGCCUCAUCUCUACCAAAAAA